rnacentral:rRNA from 1 species
UACGUAGGGGGCUAGCGUUGUCCGGAAUCAUUGGGCGUAAAGGGUGCGUAGGCGGCGCGGUAAGUCGGGUGUGAAAUCUCGGAGCUUAACUCCGAAACUGCAUUCGAUACUGCCGUGCUUGAGGACUGGAGGGGAGACUGGAAUUUACGGUGUAGCGGUGAAAUGCGUAGAUAUCGUAAGGAAGACCAGUGGCGAAGGCGGGUCUCUGGACAGUUCCUGACGCUGAGGCACGAAGGUCAGGGGAGCAAACGGG